rnacentral:tRNA from 1 species
GGGGAUGUAGCUCAGUGGUAGGGCACUUGCCUGCCCUGCAUGAGCCCUGGAUUCUAUCCCCAGCACCACCA